CCUACGGGUGUCAGCAGUGAGGAAUAUUGGUCACUGGGCGCGAGCCUGAACCAGCCAAGUAGCGUGAAGGAUGACUGCCCUACGGGUUGUAAACUUCUUUUAUAAAGGAAUAAAGUGAGGCACGUGUGCCUUUUUGUAUGUACUUUAUGAAUAAGGAUCGGCUAACUCCGUGCCAGCAGCCGCGGUAAUACGGAGGAUCCGAGCGUUAUUCGGAUUUACUGGGUGUAAAGGGAGCGUAGGUGGUAUGUUAAGUCAGGGGUGAAAGCUUGCGGCUCAACGUUGGAAUUGCAAUUGAUACUGGCAAACUUGAGUGUGGUAGAGGUUGGUGGAAUUCGAGGUGUAGGAGUGAAAUGCGUAGAUAUCAGGAGGAACUCCGAUGGCGAAGGCGACUAACU
rnacentral:rRNA from 1 species